rnacentral:tRNA from 1 species
GGGCAUUUGGUCUAGUGGUAUGAUUCUUGCCUUGGGUGCAAGAGGCCGCGAGUUCGAUUCUCGCAAUGCCCC